rnacentral:rRNA from 1 species
GUGCCAGCCGCCGCGGUAAUACCGGCAGCCCGAGUGAUGACCGAUCUUAUUGGGCCUAAAGCGUCCGUAGCUGGCUGCGCAAGUCUGUUGGGAAAUCCACGCGCUCAACGCGUGGGCGUCCAGCGGAAACUGCACAGCUUGGGACCGGAAGGCUCGAAGGGUACGUUCGGGGUAGGAGUGAAAUCCCAUAAUCCCGCACGGACCACCGAUGGCGAAAGCACUUCGAGAAAACGGAUCCGACAGUGAGGGACGAAAGCCAGGGUCUCCAACCGGAUUAGAUACCCCGGUAGUCC